AGUCGAGCGGCAUGCACGAAGUAGACUUGCUCCUUGAUUCAGCGGCGGACGGGUGAGUAAUGCCUAAGAAUCUGCCUGGUAGUGGGGGACAACGUUUCGAAAGGAACGCUAAUACCGCAUACGUCCUACGGGAGAAAGCAGGGGACCUUCGGGCCUUGCGCUAUCAGAUGAGCCUAGGUCGGAUUAUCUAGUUGGUGGGGUAAUGGCUCACCAAGGCGACGAUCCGUAACUGGUCUGAGAGGAUGAUCAGUCACACUGGAACUGAGACACGGUCCAGACUCCUACGGGAGGCAGCAGUGGGGAAUAUUGGACAAUGGGCGAAAGCCUGAUCCAGCCAUGCCGCGUGUGUGAAGAAGGUCUUCGGAUUGUAAAGCACUUUAAGUUGGGAGGAAGGGCAGUAAGCUAAUACCUUGCUGUUUUGACGUUACCGACAGAAUAAGCACCGGCUAACUCUGUGCCAGCAGCCGCGGUAAUACAGAGGGUGCAAGCGUUAAUCGGAAUUACUGGGCGUAAAGCGCGCGUAGGUGGUUUGUUAAGUUGGAUGUGAAAGCCCCGGGCUCAACCUGGGAACUGCAUCCAAAACUGGCAAGCUAGAGUACGGUAGAGGGUGGUGGAAUUUCCUGUGUAGCGGUGAAAUGCGUAGAUAUAGGAAGGAACACCAGUGGCGAAGGCGACCACCUGGACUGAUACUGACACUGAGGUGCGAAAGCGUGGGGGAGCAAACAAGAUUAGAUACCCUGGUAGUCCACGCCGUAAACGAUGUCAACUAGCCGUUGGAAUCCUUGAGAUUUUAGUGGCGCAGCUAACGCAUUAAGUUGACCGCCUGGGGAGUACGGCCGCAAGGUUAAAACUCAAAUGAAUUGACGGGGGCCCGCACAAGCGGUGGAGCAUGUGGUUUAAUUCGAAGCAACGCGAAGAACCUUACCAGGCCUUGACAUGCAGAGAACUUUCCAGAGAUGGAUUGGUGCCUUCGGGAACUCUGACACAGGUGCUGCAUGGCUGUCGUCAGCUCGUGUCGUGAGAUGUUGGGUUAAGUCCCGUAACGAGCGCAACCCUUGUCCUUAGUUACCAGCACGUUAUGGUGGGCACUUUAAGGAGACUGCCGGUGACAAACCGGAGGAAGGUGGGGAUGACGUCAAGUCAUCAUGGCCCUUACGGCCUGGGCUACACACGUGCUACAAUGGUCGGUACAGAGGGUUGCCAAGCCGCGAGGUGGAGCUAAUCUCACAAAACCGAUCGUAGUCCGGAUCGCAGUCUGCAACUCGACUGCGUGAAGUCGGAAUCGCUAGUAAUCGCGAAUCAGAAUGUCGCGGUGAAUACGUUCCCGGGCCUUGUACACACCGCCCGUCACACCAUGGGAGUGGGUUGCACCAGAAGUAGCUAGUCUAACCUUCGGGAGGACGGUACCU
rnacentral:rRNA from 1 species